AACCUAGCACACCUGCGGUGUGUACCUGCGGAGGGAUCAUUACCGAGUUUACAACUCCCAAACCCCUGUGAACAUACCUAUAAUUUGCCUCGGCGGACUCAACGACGGUGCUCCGAGAAAUCGGGCGCCGCUCGCUGCCAGAGGAACCCCAAACUCUAUGUAUUCUUGUGGAUCUUCUGAGUAAAACAAAACAAAUAAAUCAAAACUUUCAGCAAUGGAUCUCAGAUCGGAAGAGCACAC
rnacentral:misc_RNA from 1 species